UAGUCCACGCUGUAAACGAUGAUUACUCGUUGCAGGCGAUACACAGUCUGUGACCAAGCGAAAGUGAUAAGUAAUCCACCUGGGGAGUACGAUCGCAAGGUUGAAACUCAAAGGAAUUGACGGGGGCCCGCACAAGCGGUGGAGCAUGUGGUUUAAUUCGAUGAUACGCGAGGAACCUUACCUGGGCUUAAAUGCAUAAUGACAGGCUGGGAAACCAGUCCUUCUUCGGACAGAAUGCAAGGUGCUGCAUGGCUGUCGUCAGCUCGUGCUGUGAGGUGUCGGGUUAAGUCCCAUAACGAGCGCAACCCCUAUUUCUAGUUGCCAGCACAUAAUGGUGGGGACUCUAGAGAAACUGCCCGCGCAAGCGGUGAGGAAGGUGGGGGACGACGUCAAGUCAUCACGGCCCUUACGUCCAGGGGCUACACACGUGCUACAAUGGUAGAGACAGAGGGCAGCCACUUGGUGACAAGGAGCUAA
rnacentral:rRNA from 1 species